GAUCAACGCUGGCGGCAUGCCUAACACAUGCAAGUCGAGCGAACAGACCAGGAGCUUGCUCCUUUGACGUUAGCGGCGGACGUGUGAGUAACACGCGGAUAACCUACCUAUAAGACUGGGAUAACUUCGGGAAACCGGAGCCAAUACCGGAUAAUAUAUUGAACCGCAUGGUUCAAUAGUCAAAGACGGUUUUGCUGUCACUUUUCGAUGGAUCCGCGCCGCAUUUGCUAGUUGGUAAGGUAACGGUUUCACAAGGCCACGAUGCGUAGACGACCUGGGAGGGUACACGGCCACACUAGAACUGAGACACGGUCCAGACUCCUACGGGAGGCCGCAGUCUGGAAUCUUUCGCAAUGGGCGAAAGCUUAACCGAGCAACGCCGCGUGAGUGAUGAGGGUCUUCGGAUCGUAAAGCUCUGUAAUGAGGGACGAAGGACUGUGUAAGAAACUAUGAACGUUUUGACGGUACCUAAUCAGAAAGCAACGGCUAACUACGUG
rnacentral:rRNA from 1 species